AUAUUGUAUGAAAGGAAAGAAGAUUCAUAUUCUCCUUGACAAGGAUUGAAGAGCCCCUUGAAGCUGCAUAAUGUGGAUAUGGUCAAGACAUUGCCACCUACUUCAGGGCAUCUAAUCAUGGAAAACC